UACACAAAUGACCAAAAAGGCUAUUUUUGAUUAAAAAAAUGAACUGGACAACGCCCAAUGCUACAUCUGUAAUUAUGACUUUACCAAAAGGACUAAAAACCAACUCAAAAAGAAGAAAAAUGAAAAAGCCUAAAAAAGAGGACACACUUGACUCUUCCUCUCAGUUCUCCACACCUCGUCACCUACCUUCACUACCCUUAUCACUUCACUGUGUCCCCACUUCUCCCUGUGGCCACAAGCCCACAACUCUCUCUCUACCUCCUCAGGUUGCCCCUCCUCUUCGUCUCCACUACCGACGCGAGGUCUUGCACCCCCUCUCCCCACUCUUCUCAGCACUUCCUCGCCGAAUCGGUCUCUGAAGUGCCCGAGUAUCCGCUUGAGCUCGGCAUGCUCGCUAGCCGACCCAGUGCUAGGCGUGGAUGAAGGCCGACGCGGAGGCACGGGACUCGUCUCCACCAGAUCAGCGGCCAUGGCAAUCGUGCAUCCGAAGCUCCGCGGCCCGGCACCAUGCCUUCCUCUCUGUCUCGCUCGCCCGGCGCUUGGAGCGUCUGCUCGUCGUCGGCUCUCACCACCCUGUGCGUGCGGCUGUGCUGUGCCCGGCCCUGCCCAGGUGCGGCAAUAGUGCCGUGGUGGCUGGUCCCCUGCAACUGCAAGCCGACGCCAAUUAAUGAUCUAUUCCCCACUCCAGCUUUCAUAUCUGCUUAGUUCUGAUUUGAGGUACUCCCCAUUCCCCACUUUUGCUAAUUCCUUUUUUUGGCGAAACACUUUUGCUAAUUCCUAGUUGCUAUUCAUCACUGUGUAGUACAUACGUAGCUCAGUAUCUUAGGUUUAAGCAUGAGAUUCGUUUUAGAAUCGGCGAGAAAAAAAUAGAAGUUGGAGUAAGUUGUUCGAUUAGACGUUCUUAACUUUGUUGCAACAGCUGUUAUGAGUGGAGAUUCUAGUCGGUUAAUAUUCUUGAGGCAACCAUGCUGUCAUAAAGUUGAUUGAUUAGUGGAUAUGAAUUCUGGGUGGCUAGGGGCACUGUGAGGAGCUAGGGACCAAGACAGACGAGGUUGAUUUGGCUUGAUCCUGCCAAAGAAAUUUACUUCUUCUGAAAAGACGGAAGCAUGUUUUUAGAAAGUUCAUGGUUAACUUUCCAAAUCGGAGAUUUAUAGCAAAGCAAAGAGACAGGUUGAAGAAUGAAUAAUUGAUAUAGCACAACCUUCUAGAUGAAGUGCUUUUGCAGGCUUACAAUGAAUGGAUAUUGAAGACCAUGGAAGAGUCCUCGAAUUUGUUGCAUCAUAAAUUGUUGGAACUCUGGAAUAAACAGAAAGAUGUGAAUGGGGAGGCAUACCUGCCUGCCAUAUACACCAACCCGAAGCUUUUGAGCGUUGUACAAAAGAAGUACUUGACAGGUUUACUUCAUGAUAGUCUCGGAUUUUGUUCGGUCAGAAUCAUCAGGAAGGCUUUUAGGUGAGGUCAAUUAUAUACUGAAGAGCAUGCACCUGUGUUGGCGACGAGCUCAUCAGCGCAGCCGUGGACGGGCGCCUCGGCGGUUGCACAUGUGAGGGCGAAGAGCUCGUCGUUGUGGCCGUCGUCAGGUGACUCGGCGGAUGCACUUGUGCUGGCGAAGAGCACGUCGUCGCGGUCAUCGUCCGAUGCCUCGGCGUCUGUGCAGGGCAGCGAGCAAUGAUGGCGCACGUCAAGCCGGAUGCCUGGAUUGAUUCCCCCCUAAUUUAGCAGAUUUAUUUUUGUAUAGUUGAGCAAGUCCAUGCGAAUUGGACGUGCUGUUUCCUUGUGCGGGCAUGGGAUCCGUACUAAAGUGGCAUAUUGUGCGGCGGCUUCUUUGUGUGAGGUAGAUGGUGGGAGAAGUAGAACGUGGGCGUCUGCCCUAGAAGAACAUUUAAUCCUGAGCGUUGAUUGGUGUGGUAGACCUUUGAUGUAAUAUAGAACAUUGGAUGUGAUUUAGUGGGAUUGAUCAAACGUCUCUGGUACUUCUGUGUACA